rfam:TPA: Bos taurus chromosome 8, whole genome shotgun sequence.
UCCCUGGUAGCUCAGAGGGUAAAGCAUCUGCCUGCAAUGCCAGAGACCUGGGUUCGAUCCCUAGGUGGGGAA